AACGCUAGCUACAGGCUUAACACAUGCAAGUCGAGGGGCAGCAUGGUCUUAGCUUGCUAAGGCCGAUGGCGACCGGCGCACGGGUGAGUAACACGUAUCCAACCUGCCGUCUACUCUUGGACAGCCUUCUGAAAGGAAGAUUAAUACAAGAUGGCAUCAUGAGUCCGCAUGUUCACAUGAUUAAAGGUAUUCCGGUAGACGAUGGGGAUGCGUUCCAUUAGAUAGUAGGCGGGGUAACGGCCCACCUAGUCUUCGAUGGAUAGGGGUUCUGAGAGGAAGGUCCCCCACAUUGGAACUGAGACCCGGUCCAAACUCCUACGGGAGGCAGCAGUGAGGAAUAUUGGUCAAUGGGCGAGAGCCUGAACCAGCCAAGUAGCGUGAAGGAUGACUGCCCUAUGGGUUGUAAACUUCUUUUAUAAAGGAAUAAAGUCGGGUAUGGAUACCCGUUUGCAUGUACUUUAUGAAUAAGGAUCGGCUAACUCCGUGCCAGCAGCCGCGGUAAUACGGAGGAUCCGAGCGUUAUCCGGAUUUAUUGGGUUUAAAGGGAGCGUAGAUGGAUGUUUAAGUCAGUUGUGAAAGUUUGCGGCUCAACCGUAAAAUUGCAGUUGAUACUGGAUAUCUUGAGUGCAGUUGAGGCAGGCGGAAUUCGUGGCGUAGCGGUGAAAUGCUUAGAUAUCACGAAGAACUCCGAUUG
rnacentral:rRNA from 1 species